UACAGAGGUGGCAAGCGUUGUUCGGAAUUACUGGGCGUAAAGGGCGCGUAGGCGGUCUUCUAAGUCUUGUGUGAAAUCCCUCGGCUCAACUGAGGAACUGCACGGGAUACUGGAAGACUUGAGUUCGGGAGAGGGAAGCGGAAUUCCGGGUGUAGCGGUGAAAUGCGUAGAUAUCCGGAGGAACACCGUGGCGAAGGCGGCUUCCUGGACCGAUUACUGACGCUGAGGCGCGAAAGCUAGGGGAGCAAACGGG
rnacentral:rRNA from 1 species